rnacentral:piRNA from 1 species
CCAUUCUGUACUACAAGCUAGCCUGAAA